rnacentral:rRNA from 1 species
AGCUGGUUCUCCCCGAAAGCUAUUUAGGUAGCGCCUCGGACGAAUACCAUAGGGGGUAGAGCACUGUUUCGGCUAGGGGGUCAUCCCGACUUACCAAACCGAUGCAAACUCCGAAUACCUAUGAGUACUAUCCGGGAGACAGACUGCGGGUGCUAACGUCCGUAGUCAAGAGGAAAACAAUCCAGACCGCCAGCUAAGGCCCCAAAAUCAUAGUUAAGUGGGAAACGAUGUGGGAAGGCAUAGACAGCUAGGAGGUUGGCUUAGAAGCAGCCACCCUUUAAAGAAAGCGUAAUAGCUCACUAGUCGAGUCGGCCUGCGCGGAAGAUGUAACGGGGCUAAAACUAUGUGCCGAAGCUGCGGAUGUAUACUUUGUAUACGUGGUAGGGGAGCGUUCUGUAAGCCGAUGAAGGUGUGUUGAGAAGCAUGCUGGAGGUAUCAGAAGUGCGAAUGCUGACGUGAGUAACGACAAAACGGGUGAAAAACCCGUUCGCCGAAAGACCAAGGGUUCCAGUCCAACGUUAAUCGGGGCUGGGUGAGUCGACCCCUAAGGCGAGGCCGAAAGGCGUAGUCGAUGGGAAAAUGGUUAAUAUUCCAUUACUUCUGUGUAAUGCGAUGAGAGGACGGAGAAGGCUAAAUCAGCCUGGCGUUGGUUGUCCAGGUGAAAGGAUGUAGGCAUGUAUCUUAGGCAAAUCCGGGGUACUCUAUGCUGAGAUCUGAUAGCAAGCUGUACUUGUACAGCGAAGUGGUUGAUGCCAUGCUUCCAGGAAAAGUCUCUAAGCUUCAGUUACACAGGAAUCGUACCCGAAACCGACACAGGUGGUCAGGUCGAGUAGACCAAGGCGCUUGAGAGAACUCUGCUGAAGGAACUAGGCAAAAUGGUACCGUAACUUCGGGAGAAGGUACGCUGUUGUUGGUGAUGGAACUCGCUUCCUGAGCUGACGACAGCCGCAGAAACCAGGCCGCUGCAACUGUUUAUUAAAAACAUAGCACUCUGCAAACACGAAAGUGGACGUAUAGGGUGUGAUGCCUGCCCGGUGCUGGAAGGUUAAUUGAUGGGGUUAGCGUAAGCGAAGCUCUUGAUCGAAGCCCCAGUAAACGGCGGCCGUAACUAUAACGGUCCUAAGGUAGCGAAAUUCCUUGUCGGGUAAGUUCCGACCUGCACGAAUGGCAUAAUGAUGGCGGCGCUGUCUCCAGCAGAGGCUCAGUGAAAUCGAAAUCGCUGUGAAGAUGCAGUGUACCCGCGGCUAGACGGAAAGACCCCGUGAACCUUUACUGCAGCUUGACACUGAACUUUGACCUUACUUGUGUAGGAUAGGUGGGAGGCUUUGAAGCUGGAACGCUAGUUCCAGUGGAGCCGUCCUUGAAAUACCACCCUGGUAAUGUUGAGGUUCUAACUCUGUCCCGUGAUCCGGGACGAGGACCGUGUCUGGUGGGUAGUUUGACUGGGGCGGUCUCCUCCUAAAGAGUAACGGAGGAGUACGAAGGUGCGCUCAGCGUGGUCGGAAAUCACGCGUAGAGUAUAAAGGCAAAAGCGCGCUUAACUGCGAGACCCACAAGUCGAGCAGGUACGAAAGUAGGUCUUAGUGAUCCGGUGGUUCUGUAUGGAAGGGCCAUCGCUCAACGGAUAAAAGGUACUCUGGGGAUAACAGGCUGAUACCGCCCAAGAGUUCAUAUCGACGGCGGUGUUUGGCACCUCGAUGUCGGCUCAUCUCAUCCUGGGGCUGAAGCAGGUCCCAAGGGUAUGGCUGUUCGCCAUUUAAAGAGGUACGCGAGCUGGGUUUAGAACGUCGUGAGACAGUUCGGUCCCUAUCUACCGUGGGCGCUGGAAAUUUGAGAGGAUCUGCUCCUAGUACGAGAGGACCAGAGUGGACGAACCUCUGGUGUACCGGUUGUGACGCCAGUCGCAUCGCCGGGUAGCUAUGUUCGGAAGGGAUAACCGCUGAAAGCAUCUAAGCGGGAAGCCUACCUCAAGAUAAGAUUUCCCUAGGACUUUAUGUCCUCUAAAGAGCCGUUCGAGACUAGGACGUUGAUAGGUUGGAUGUGGAAGCAUAGUGAUAUGUGAAGCUGACCAAUACUAAUUGCUCGUGAGGCUUGACUAU